rnacentral:rRNA from 1 species
UACAGAGGGUGCGAGCGUUAAUCGGAUUUACUGGGCGUAAAGCGUGUGUAGGUGGCUUCCUAAGUCGAUUGUGAAAUCCCUGGGCUCAACCUGGGAAUUGCAGUCGAUACUGGGGAGCUCGAGUUCAGUAGAGGACGGCGGAAUUCCCGGUGUAGCGGUGAAAUGCGUAGAUAUCGGGAGGAACAUCGAUGGCGAAAGCAACCGUCUGGGCCUGAACUGACACUGAGACACGAAAGCGUGGGGAGCAAACAGG